rnacentral:rRNA from 1 species
UACGGAGGGGGCUAGCGUUGUUCGGAAUUACUGGGCGUAAAGCGCACGCAGGCGGCUCGAUAAAUUAGAAGUGAAAGCCCCGGGCUUAACCUGGGAAUUGCUUUUAAGACUGUCGAGCUAGAAUCCAGAAGAGGGUAGUGGAAUUCCGAGUGUAGAGGUGAAAUUCGUAGAUAUUCGGAAGAACACCAGUGGCGAAGGCGACUACCUGGUCUGGCAUUGACGCUCAUGUGCGAAAGCGUGGGGAGCAAACAGG